rnacentral:tRNA from 1 species
UUGGGUGUAUAUCAAUGGUAGAUUCUUAGCCUUCCAAGCUGAUUGUUACGAGUUCGACUCUCGUCAUCCACU